UACAGAGGGUGCAAGCGUUAAUCGGAAUUACUGGGCGUAAAGCGCGCGUAGGUGGUUCGUUAAGUUGGAUGUGAAAUCCCCGGGCUCAACCUGGGAACUGCAUUCAAAACUGUCGAGCUAGAGUAUGGUAGAGGGUGGUGGAAUUUCCUGUGUAGCGGUGAAAUGCGUAGAUAAUAGGAAGGAACACCAGUGGCGAAGGCGACCACCUGGACUGAUACUGACACUGAGGUGCGAAAGCGUUGGGGAGCAAACAGG
rnacentral:rRNA from 1 species